rnacentral:lncRNA from 1 species
UUUUUUUUUACAACCGUGUUCAUCAGGGAUAUUGGCCUACCGUUAUCUUUUUUAGUGGUGUCAUCUGGUUUUGGUAUCAGGGUGAUGCCAGCCUUAUAGAAUGCAUUUGGAAGUUUUCCUUCCUUUUCAUUUUUUGAGAUAAUUUGAGAAUAAUAGAUUUAAUUCUUCUUUAAAUGUUUGGUAGAAUUUGCCCGUGAAGCUAUCCAGCCUGAUUUGGUUUCUUUGUUGGUUAUCAGUCUGUUCAAAUUUUCUAUUUUUUCAUUGUUUCAGUUUUGGUAGUUUAUGUUUAUAAGAAUAUAUCUAUUUCUUCCAGAUUAUCCAAUCUGGGGGUGUAUAGUUUUCCAUAAUAUUAUUUUAUUCUUUUAUCUACGUGGCCAUCGAUUAUCUCAUCAGAAUCACACCCUUCCCAUGUGAUUAUAUCCUUUUUGACCUGACUCAGUGCGGUAGAAAGACCUCCUUCAAGAUCCCAUCUAUCCCUAAAGCAUCACUGAACAGCGUGCUCAGAGACACUGCCUCCUGAGGGUGGGUUCUCCUUCUGAAUCAUCUACUCAGGAUCUCUCAGCUUCUCAGGGACACUGAAGUAUGCUGUGAAAUGGUAGGUGACAUUCUGCUGCUUAUUGUGUUUCUACACAAUGCUGCUCUUGAUCACGUUGUCACUUCACAUGAAGAGACUCAGAUGGAGAAUAAGUUGACUUUUGCUGUCUUCUCAAAAAUGAAGAAAGAAGCUCUCUGGGAGAGUCUGAUCUCGAAUUUUCUAACUCGAUUGAGCAAUAUUUCACUUGGCUGCAAAGCUACCACAUGCUACACACUUCCAAUUGCCUUUAGACUUGCUAAAUGCAUUUAUAGACUGAGAACGAGCGGUAGGAAAAAUGUGGCGGAUGAAAUAAAGUCUUUUUCACACUGCCCCUUUUAUUAUUGUGUUAUAAAAACCCAGGCUCAAAAUAGAUUGAGGUAGAUUUAUCUUUUAAUGAAAAUCGCCGGGAGGUUGGAAGUCAAAUAUUCUUAUCUUUUUCUCCUGUCUCCAGAGCAAGACUCGUUUGCAGGGCUGACCUUGCAGUACAGUCCUAGAGGGAGCUACAAUGAUACUGUGGACUGACUUCCUUCACAAGGGACUUUUAAAAGAGACAAUGGAGCUGGCAUGCCUCCUUUCAGGCUCCCUUGUCCAGGGUUGUGCAUGUCAGCUUUUUUGGAGAGCAAAGGGCAGAAAAGUUCAAGAGUGAUUGUAGCCAGCAGAAAGGAGCGAGUUCUGAGGACAUUGUGAGGACGCUGGCCUGGCUGCUCUGGAGGCCUUGGGCAGCACUUAGAGCCUUCACUGUGCACCUGAACUGCUCGUGGGAGGCUCGGCUGGGCCAACCCACUGGGUCCUUGCCACACAUCCCCACACAGGCUCGGGGGACGCCUCACAGAGCAGCUGCAGAGCCGCUGCCCCACCUGGCAAUGCAGGGCCUGGGCCUGCUGCCCCCGCAAGCUCCUGACUACCCCUUUCCCCAGAUGGGGGUCUCAGAAACCUGUUGAGCAUGAGAAUGAUUUUACCAACUUUUUUCUUUUUUUUUUUUUUUUUUUUUUUUAGUGUUAGGUUUUUGUCUUAAAUAAAUCAGUGGGGAGAUAAUUUUGCACUUCUUUUUGUUUUCACUUCCUUUUUGCAUGAAAUUCAAGGUUCAUAACAGAGAAGAGGGUGCAUGUUGGUAGUAGGAGAAACGAAAGCAGAGAUAAUAAGAAAAAAGUAGGCAAAAGAAUAGCAUUUAGAGGAAGAUUGUUAUCAGUCAGCAUUUCAACAAAUAUCUGUAAAAAUAAUCACUCUGGGGAAAUACAGUAAUGAGAAUUUAAUGUCAAAAUGAUUGUAAUUUUAUGCCUAAAUACACUCAACAUGACAAAGAAUUCUCUUAAUCUUAAUUAGGAAUAGGUGGGGGCCUUUCAAUUUUUUUCCAUAAACUGCAUAGCUCCUGGAACUAAUUGCCUUCUAAGAGCAAUAGAUAAUAGAAAAACAUGAUUGUAUCAUAUGUUCUGGAGAACAUAAAUAGCAUCCCACUGAUUUCUUAACUCCCUGAACUGGAGCAGCAUCUCAAUCUAGCUGCUAGUAAUUAAAAUUCCAUAUAUCUAUCUAUCUAAAUGGAAGGUUUUACAUUUUAUGUAAUUACUGUACAAUCACCUUACUAUGAAUGGAUUCCAUGUGCAAAUGGCAAAGCAAGUUUGAAGAACUGAUUUGGUUAAGUACUUUUAAAUCUAUUACUCCUGAAUAAAAGUCUCAAUGAAAUUGUAUGCUACUUAACAUUUCAAGGAAUUUUGUAAGUUGAUGAAACAAAUACAUCUUCUAUGUAGAUGUGCUUGUGUGAAACUCAUCUCUUGUAGUAAA